rnacentral:rRNA from 1 species
AUUGAACGCUGGCGGCAGGCCUAACACAUGCACGUCGAGCGGAGCGGCGGAGGGGUGAGUAAUGCCUAGGAAUCGGCCUGUAAGUGGGGGAAAAGGUCCGGAACGGGGCGCUAUUACCGCAUCCUAUAGGAUGAGCCUAGGUCGGAUUAGCUAGUUGGUGGGGUAAAGGCCUACCAAGGCGACGAUCCUGAACUGGUCUGAGAGGAUGAUCAGUCACACUGGAACUGAGACACGGUCCAGACUCCUACGGGAGGCAGCAGUGGGGAAUAUUGGACAAUGGGCGAAAGCCUGAUCCAGCCAUGCCGCGUGUGUGAAGAAGGUCUUCGGAUUGUAAAGCACUUUAAGUUGGGAGGCGUUACCAACAGAAUAAGCACCGGCUAACUUCGUGCCAGCCGCCGCGGUAAUAC